rnacentral:rRNA from 1 species
GACGAACGCUGGCGGCGUGCUUAACACAUGCAAGUCGAACGGAAAGGCCCUGCUUUUGUGGGGUGCUCGAGUGGCGAACGGGUGAGUAACACGUGAGUAACCUGCCCUUGACUUUGGGAUAACUUCAGGAAACUGGGGCUAAUACCGGAUAGGAGCUCCUGCUGCAUGGUGGGGGUUGGAAAGUUUCGGCGGUUGGGGAUGGACUCGCGGCUUAUCAGCUUGUUGGUGGGGUAGUGGCUUACCAAGGAUUUGACGGGUAGCCGGACUGAGAGGGUGACCGGCAACAUUGGGACUGAGAUACGGCCCAGACUCCUACGGGAGGCAGCAGUGGGGAAUAUUGCACAAUGGGCGGAAGCCUGAUGCAGCAACGCCGCGUGCGGGAUGACGGCCUUCGGGUUGUAAACCGAUUUCGCCUGUGACGAAGCGUGAGUGACGGUAAUGGGUAAAGAAGCACCGGAUAACUACGUG